ACAGGUGUAGCAAUACAUGCUGACGACCGGGAGAGGGCGUAACGCGUAUGCAACCUACCUUAUAACUGGAGAAUAGCCCCCGAAGAAAUUCGGAUUAAAUACUCCAUAACAUCACGAGAAGGGCAUCUAAUUGUGAUUAAAAUUACGAAUGGUUAUAGAAUGGGCAUGCGUAACAUUAGCUAGUUGGUGAGGUAACGGCUCACCAAGGCUACGAUGUUUAGGGGAUCUGAGAGGAUUUCACCCCCACACUGGUACUUGAGACACGGACCAGACUCCUACGGGAGGCAGCAGUAAGGAAUAUUGGACAAUGGAGGCAACUCUGAUCCAGCCAUGCCGCGUGAAGGACGAAGGCGCUAUGCGUCGUAAACUUCUUUUGAACGGGAGAAAACCCUGUUUUUGUGUACCCAGGAUGAUAGUACCGUUAGAAUAAGGGUCGGCUAACUUCGUGCCAGCAGCCGCGGUAAUACGAAGGACCCGAGCGUUAUCCGGAUUUAUUGGGUUUAAAGGGUGCGUAGGCGGAUUGAUAAGUCAGUGGUGAAAGCUCAUCGCUCAACGAUGAAAUUGCCAUUGAUACUGUCGAUCUUGAGUACAUUUGAAGUGGGCGGAAUGUGUCAUGUAGCGGUGAAAUGCUUAGAUAUGACACAGAACACCGAUUGCGAAGGCAGCUCACUAAACUGUAACUGACGCUGAGGCACGAAAGCGUGGGGAUCAGUCAGGAUUAGAUACCCUGGUAGUCCACGCCUUAAACCUUGUUUUCUCGAUGUUGGCGGAUACACUGUCAGCGGGCAAGCGAAAGGCGUUAAAGUAUCCACCUGGGGGAGGACGGUCGCAAGGGCUGAAAACUCAAAGGGAAUUGACCGGGGGCCCGCCACAAGCGGGACGGAGAGCAUGUGGGUUUAAUUCGAUGAAUACGCGAGGAACCUUACCUGGGCCUUGAAAGAUUAGUGACCGCAGACCUCUGAAAGGAGUCUCUUUCCGCAAGGACACGAAACUAGGUGCUGCAUGGCUGUCGUCAGCUCGUGCCGUGAGGUGUUGGGUUAAGUCCCGCAACGAGCGCAACCCCUAUCAUUAGUUGCCAUCAGGUUAAGCUGGGACUCUAA
rnacentral:rRNA from 1 species